UACGGAGGGGGCGAGCGUUAUUCGGAAUUAUUGGGCGUAAAGGGCGCGUAGGCGGCUUGACAAGUCAAAGGUGAAAUCCCUCGGCUCAACUGAGGAACUGCCUUUGAAACUGUCUGGCUUGAGUCCGGAAGAGGAGAGUGGAAUUCCUGGUGUAGCGGUGAAAUGCGCAGAUAUCAGGAAGAACACCCGUGGCGAAGGCGGCUCUCUGGGACGGUACUGACGCUGAGACGCGAAAGCGUGGGGAGCGAACAGG
rnacentral:rRNA from 1 species